rnacentral:rRNA from 1 species
GGGAUGAAGCUCAAAUUUAAAAUCUGGCGUCUUUCAGGCGUCCGAGUUGUAAUCUAUAGAGGCGUUUUCCGCGCCGGACCGCGUCCAAGUCUCUUGGAAUAGAGUAUCAAAGAGGGUGACAAUCCCGUACUUGACGCGACAACCGGUGCUCUGUGAUACGUUCUCAAUGAGUCGAGUUGUUUGGGAAUGCAGCUCUAAAUGGGUGGUAAAUUCCAUCUAAGGCUAAAUAUUGGCGAGAGACCGAUAGCGAACAAGUACCGUGAGGGAAAGAUGAAAAGCACUUUGGAAAGAGAGUUAAACAGCACGUGAAAUUGUUAAAAGGGAAACGAUUGAAGUCAGUCGUGUGAAAGGUAUUCAGCCGUCUCUGGCGGUGUAUUUGCCUUUCACGGGUCAACAUCAGUUUGAUCCGGUAGAAAAAGGCAGGAGGAAGGUGGCACCCUCGGGUGUGUUAUAGCCUCUUGUCAUAUGUGCCGGACCAGACUGAGGAACGCAGCUUGCCGCAAGGCCGGGGUUCGCCCACGUACAAGCUUAGGAUGUUGACAUAAUGGCUUUAAACGACCCGUCUU